GUGGGGAAUAUUGGGCAAUGGGCGAAAGCCUGACCCAGCAACGCCGCGUGAAGGAAGAAGGUCUUCGGAUCGUAAACUUCUAUCCUUGGUGAAGAUAAUGACGGUAGCCGAGAAGGAAGCCCCGGCUAACUACGUGCCAGCAGCCGCGGUAAUACGUAGGGGGCAAGCGUUGUCCGGAAUGAUUGGGCGUAAAGGGCGCGUAGGCGGCCUGGUAAGUCUGGAGUGAAAGUCCUGCUUUUAAGGUGGGAAUUGCUUUGGAUACUGUCGGGCUUGAGUGCAGGAGAGGUAAGUGGAAUUCCCGGUGUAGCGGUGAAAUGCGUAGAGAUCGGGAGGAAUACCAGUGGCGAAGGCGACUUACUGGACUGUAACUGACGCUGAGGCGCGAAAGUGUGGGGAGCAAACAGGAUUAGAUACCCCUGUAGUCC
rnacentral:rRNA from 1 species